rnacentral:lncRNA from 1 species
UUUGUAUUGCUGUGAACUGUAUAGAUCAGGUCUUUACCAGCAGAUUGAACAUCAAGACCCACAAAAUAGUUUGGACCCCUGGGAUCCGUAUAGACUGCAGCACACUCCGAUUGAAUACUGAAAUCCUGUUUGUCCUUGCUCAUUUGUCCUGUGACUGAGGCGAUGAGGUUCCCUUUCAAGUCCAUAGUUGUCUCCAAGUUUAUUCCAUCAAAGCCCACAUCAUGAUCCCAUCCAUGUGGAUCAAGAACAGGUCUUACCAGCCACUGGUCACUCAUAACAAGGCAACGAUACCUGUGUGCAGGGCAAUCCGAGUCAAAACUCAGAGGGACUGCCAUAUCUGGUAGCAUAACCGCUUCUGGAUAUACCUCUUUGUUAUCAGGAUUAUCGCUGUCGGCCAAACUUACCUCUCUGGAAAGUUUGCUUUCCCUUCGCCUCUGGGCCUCCUCUUUCACCUGUUUCUUCAAAUAAAGGGUCUCCCUAUAGUCUAGCUCAUCGAGAUAGUCCUUCUUCUGAGAGCUAGUCAAUCUCUCAAAUUGAGAUUUUGUCAGAAUUCGUAUUGGAGGUAACUGAUCAUACUCAUCCACUUCCUCUUCCUCCAAAAAUAGAAUCUCAUCAAUUUCAUUGUCUGUUUCGCUUGGAUCCAAUGUGGAGCGAUGUCGUAGAAAAGAUGAGAGAAGAUGGGGCAGAGAAGGGAGCCGAGUAUUACUCGAUGGCCCAAGUUGAAUGCUGUGUUGAAAUCUCAAGAGAGCAUUAGCAUCAUUUAGAACUUUGGUACAUAGGCACAAUAACAAAAACUGAGAUAUCCAAACCUGUCCAUUUGGAAGAAUUUUCUUCCCCAUGACAUUAGUUCUACAAUAGGGAUGAUUCUCCACCAAGAGCACAGGGUUUUCCAACCUUGUGUCAGACACAGCCUGCUGUACAUAGUGUUGUACCAGAUCUGUGCACUGAGUCACAUAAGAUUCAUAGUUGACAGGGAAACCAUUUGGACCUUCAGGAAGAUCUGAGGAGCAGUGUGUCAUGACUAGGAUAGUGCUGAACCAAAUAGCAGGACCAAACACUUCUGUAAUAAGCUUCAAAAGGGGGAAGUCACUAUAGCCCAUGUUUAUGAGGUCAAGGCGUUCAAAAUAUAAAACAAUGUCUGGAGGGAAUUUUCUUAUGAAUCUCUUCACAGAUAGCAGAAUUUUCCUAUUCCUUCUCACAUUACUUGUAUUGGAGGGCAACAGACCUGGGGUAUCAAUGAAAGUUAUUUUAAUUCCAUUCACAGUUCCGACAACCUCUCUGAUGCGGUCAGUGGCAGGCUGAAAUGCAUUAGUCACAGCCUUUGCUUGAUCAAAAAUAGAAUUUAUGGUUGCACUCUUUCCAACACCUGUUUUCCCCAGGACAAGUAUUCUAAAUGAGAAAUCCAAUUCAGGUAAGCCAGCUGCCUCUUGUUCUUCUGCAAUUGCUCUAGCUUUACCACUUCUAAGAUUAGCUCUUUUCAGAUCUGAUUCCCCAGCUCCUAUCAAAGUUGCUAAUUGUAACCGAUAUAAGACCUUUGCCACCACUAGAUUAUCUUGUGACUGGCCAAUCCGUCGGAGAAGACGCAAGAACUUGACUUGCAGAUCCUCAACCUUUGACAAUGGAUCCAUCCUUUUUCCAUCAGUACCGUGAUGAGACAGAUAAGAACCUUCACCAGGAACUGGCUGUGGGGAGGAAUGAAGUUGAUUUUCCUGAUUGCUAUUAGAAUGGUGAGAUGUAUUAGCAGGUGCAGGUGGUGCUACCAAAUUGGUAGUGUGAUCAGACCCUGAUAAAUAAAAUGGCAUAAGUCUUGUUGGUGAAAAUGUACUAACAUGGAACACCUUCAACCCAUAUAUUAAAAAUCCAGUUUCAAUGUUCAAGCCAGGUUUCAACAAUCUUGCAACCAGACAACCAAAAAUUACCAUUUCUCAGUUUUAAAAAAAAUGUGGCCUGAGCAUCACAUGCUACACCUUGUGUACAGAAAGAUAUGAGAUUUGAGCAUCUUAGGUUAUACCAUAUUAUUAGAAUGAGAACAUCAUGUAAUAAAGCCACCUAAACAGUGUAAUUAUAGCAAAAAUAUAAGUUGGAUGGGAGCCUAAAAGGAGUUUAAUCAACUCCAAAUGAUGUGGUCAUGCUAAUGAGUCAAAACCUAUGUAACAUGGGUUCAGGGUGUGGGUGUUGGGUACGGGUAUAUCCAGGUGUCUAAUCCAUUCCACCUACAAAUUUUAGGAUAUGGGGAGUCGGCUAAAAAGAAUCUUAAUUAGGGGUGUGAAUACUGGAUAUGACAUAGGAAAAGGAAAAAGAAGAAAAAUCAAUUAAACAUCAAUAAAAAAGGAUAUCUUGGAUAAGAACCCUUAUUCUUUUCUUUUCUUUUCUUUUCUUUUCUUUUUUAUCCUUAUUUUUUCUUUCUUAUCCCUAUUUGCCUUUACAAAAGUUCACUUCCAGUAAUCUGUUCUUUCUUAAUGUUAUCAUCUGCUAAGUUAGUCAAAAUUAAAAAGUAAAUCUAUUAAAAAUUUAAUGUCAAAUAGACAGAUCCAAAGGAAAGUAGGAGUAUUUGACAAGGGUUCUAUAACCACCACCUCCAGUCAUGUCAUGUUGACAUGGGUGUGCUAGGUGAAGUUGGAGGAUCCAGGUAUCAUAGGUCAAAAGAUGCAAAACCCAACCAACAUGGCCAAAUCUCAUAAAUUGGUAGAGUAUUGCAUGCAUGAAAAGCACAUUUUAUGAAUUGUUGAGUACAAUUUGAUCAAUUAAGGAAAGCAUCUUUGCUUUUUCACAUUUGGGGUAUGCAAAUAAAUAUUUCAGAAAUUUCUAGCAUUGUAUUGUUCAAUUCUACAAAUAAGAAAGCAAUUAGUGGAAUGGAUCAAUAGUGGUGACUCCAAACACUCAUAUCUGAGUUUCAAACAAAAGAUAUGUUAUAACCAAUGAUAUUCAGACAUUUUAAUUUCAAUCAAAGUAACUAUUUCCACAUGAUACAACAAACAUGCGGGUGUGAGAUUUGUGUCAUUGUAUUGGAUAUGGCUAUUUAGUUGCAUUAUCUCUUUCUUUAAUUUCAUUUAAAAAUCCCGUUUAUAUUGCUUCAAAUACAUUUAUUCCUCUCUUUAUCUCUUUCUUAAUUUAAAAAAAAAUUAUACUAGACAAUAAUAUAAAAUAAAUUAUAAUAAAAAAUAAAUUAAUUUCUAACUCUAAUAACCAAAGUGUUUUAUCUCUUUCUUAAUUUUUUUUGAAAAUCAUAAUAUGUAAAUUUAAAGAUAAAUAUAAUAAUUAAUAGCAUAAAAAAUCUAAAUAGAAUAUCAAAAUUAAUAUCUUAAAAAAUCUAGAGAUAAAUUAUAAUAAUUAAUAUAAAAAAUUCAAAAAAAAAAUCAUAUGAUAAGAAAUUAAAUAUGAAUAGUAUCUUAUUAAUAUUUAAUCUAUUAGAAAACAUUAAUUACAAAAUCAACAUAAAUUUUAAACUAAUCAAUGUUUAUUGGCAUAAUAUUAUCUUUUUUUUUUUUAAACAUCCUAUUAAAAUAAAAGACAUUAUAAACAAGUUUUUAAUGUAUAAGGAGUAACAUCAAAGUAAAAUAACACUUAACAUCUUAUUAAAAUGGAAAAGAUAUAAUAAAUAUAUUCUCUAAUUACAAUUAACCAUAUAGUAUUAUAGAUGACUUAUACUUAUCUUUCUAUGCUUAUAUUUAGUGUUAGUUUAUUUUUCGCUAAUAUUGUAUCUAAAUACUUGUACCCAUAGUUGAGAUCCUUUUCAGUUAAAGCCCCAUGUCCAAAGACUUUAGGAUGUAAAGGAUCCGACAUCUAGACAUGUACCCGCACUUGACACCCGUAUCCAAACCCAUGUAACAUAAGUUAUAACCAAGAAGGAAUAGGGUUCACAAACUACAAAAGAGGAUAGAAAACCGGCAAAAGGAUCUAUUUUAUGUUGUUCAUAGGAGAAGCUUUGCGUUUUACUCCUAUGAAAAUCAUUAAGCUUUUUAAAGUGAUUAUUGCAAGGAUUGAGUGCAUUCUAAGAAGCAUUAAACCUAAUUUGCUUUUUUCAUUUCACCCCACACAUUGAAAAGUAAUUCAAUAAUGAUUAAUGGCCAUUAAAUUUGUAGCAAUGUUCUAAUUAAGUGGUAUGCUUUUUGAAAAACAUGGUUAAAAGCUAAGGGAGAUAUCCAAAUUAACACAAGUGAUCCAAAAUCAUGAUUAUGAGAAUAAGAAUGGACCUUUCCACACAUCAUACAUAAAUUUGUCUUGUUAAUCCAAACCCAACCAUUGAGAGGCCUUUGUCAUGAUUUUUGAAGAGAAAAGGCAAUUAAGAGAACCCCUUGAGUAACUCUCCUUCAACACAAGGAUCCACAGUAUUGCUGGGAGACCUAGCACUAAAAGCCAAUGCAAGAAUGUAGGCUACCUAAACCCCAAAAGAAUAAGAAUAAGUUUUUUUGAAAAAUAAAAAGUAAAACCAAUUUAGUUUCAUAAUGAGACCAAUUGAGGAAAAGCUCCUACAAACAAGGAUAAAAAUAUCGGUUUUGAUGGAUAUAUUGGUAACUUGAUUUAUGAAUAUAUUGAUGAAUAUUUUGACAAAAAAUAUCAAUGAAACAAAAAUUGAUCAAAACUUAUCUACAUAUUGGGAAAAACUCUUAGAAAUGAUAUCAAUAAUAUAAUAGACAUUUUGAAGUUGUUUUGUUGAAAAAAUUGAUAUAUGUAUUGUACAAUUUUUGAUAUUCAACAAUAGUAUUUAGAAUUUGAAAGCAUAUUAUGGAUGUGUGUGUGUUUAUAUAAAAGCAUACGUUGAUUUGGGUGCUGAUGGAGAUGCAUAUUAUCAGAAUGCACCUUUUCUUUCGGUAAAGUUUUGAUUGUUCGAACUAUAUUCAAUGACAUAAAAGAAAUGAUGAUGCAUAUAUAAGUAUUUUUUUUUUUUUAAAUAUUAAUAAUUUUAUUUAUAAAUUUAUAUAGUUAUAAUAUAAAAGACACAAAAAUUAAAGUUAAUUUAUUUACAAUAAUUUUAUUCUAAUUAUUUUACUAAUAUAUAUAUAUAUAUAUAAUAUAAAUAUAAAUAACUAUAAGAUAUUUACAUUGAUCUAUAAUGUUUAUAAAGUAGAUACAUAUAAAAUAUGCAUCCUUAAAUAACAAUAACUUAGAUAGCUUGGUGGCAUGGGUGUCAUUUUAUAUACUACAGUUCAUGGGUUCAAUUCCCAUCCCUGCACUUCAGCCACACACAACAUUAAAAAGAAGUAUUUAAACAUCAAGCAGUCAUAGCACAAGCAGCUAAAAACGUGCUGGGAUGGGCUGCAUAGCACAGUGGGGUGAGUUGAUGAUGGUGGGCCAUGUGUGGCCCAGUAAUAUUUUGAAACUCAAAGCAUCGGAUGGCUGAUGUGGCAUUGACAAAUCGGCAUUUCACCCAAAAUAUCAGGAAAAUAUAGCUAUUUUGACUAUAAAUCGGUGAUAAAUUGCAUAUAUCGUGGAAAUAUCAGUCUAUGAAUAUUUCUCCUAUGUGUUGGAGGCUGCCAAUACAUGAUAUAUCAGCGAAAUGUUGUUGACAAAUCGCAACAUUUUCAUCCAUGCCUAAAACACCCCCAUACAAUGAAAAUUUACAAAAUAUUAUAUAAAGGUGGAUGAAAUGGAAAAGGACUAGAGAAACUCCAGCAAGAGGACCACAUAUGACAAUAUCAUUGGUUCACCUAGGAAUUCAAGCAAAUUAUACUGAUAGAAACCAUCCAAUUUCAAAUGUAUAGAAGGAAUGGAAGUGCCAAAACAUAUUUUUAAAGUAUUCCAAGAAGGAAAAACAUUUUUUUUAAAAAAUUCUUUUUGGAUUGGGGGUGUGGAUUUUGGACACCCAUGGAAGUUGCCAAAGAGCAAAUUUCCUCCAAUUUAAUUUCUCAAACUUGCUUUUUUCAUCAACUCUAUAGUAUGGUAGUUGUUAAGCAACUCAAAAGGAGAGACUGAUUUUUGCUGAAUAGAUAAGCGAGGAAGAGUCGAAUGGGUCAUUUGCUUCUUCACUGCCCUAAAGCAAGAAUGCUAUGACUUGAUCUACUCCAUUUUUAGAGUGGUAUGGGUCAUGAACUCACCAGUUAAAGGGAAUUUGUUGAGUUAGCAUGGCUCAUUUGUUGGCAAGAAGUGGAAAAAAGCUAGGAGGGUCACCCUCUUGUAUUUGUCUUGGACUUUGUGGAAAAAAAGAAACAUGAGGACAUUUCAUGAUGUUGAAUAAGAGGGCAUUUGUUGGACCAAGCAAUCAAAUAUGAUUUUAUAUCCAUAUUUUUGGGUUAGGUUAGGAUGUACAAAGAGGAUAUAGAUCAUUCUUUGGCUAUGAUUGAUUUUGUAGGGUAGUUGAGCUUCAAGUAAGGAGAGAGAUUCUUUUUUGUUUUUUCUUUCCUUGAAUAGCCUAAGCGGCUAUUGUACACAAUGUGCACUUUGGUGCACCUCCUUAUAGGCAUUAUUUAAAUAUAUACUUUUUUUUUUUUUACAUAUAAAAAAAUUAUCCCAAAACUUAAGUUUUUAGAAUUUUGGUUGGCAAUGUAUAUCAUGCUCUAACGCCUUCCCUCACAUGUCGGGGCUCUACGCUCUUUCUUUUUUGUGGCAAGCGCAAACUUUGGCAUAAACAAAUCACAUUUUUGUGAUCUAACAUAAUUAGGCAAAUAACUUGCUCGGGUGAAGACUUAAUCCCAAGACUUGCGGUCUAUGUUACAUAUAUUUAGUUACAAAUGUCAAGUGUGGGCACAUGUCAAGGUGUUGGAUCAAUUGUAUCCCAAAAUCUUUGGACAUAGGGACUAAGUUGAAGAGGACCUCAACUAUGGUUUGGCUACUUGGAUAUAACAGUAAUAAAAAAUAAAUUAACACUAGAUAUAGGCACAACAAUUUAAGGAUAAUAUAUCUAUUAUACAACAUGCUUAAUUGUAGUUUAAAGUAUAUUUAUUAUAUAUUUGCUAUUUCAAUAAGAUGUUAAAUGUUAUUUUACUUCGAUGGUACUGCUAAUUGUACAUGAAAAACAUAUUUAUUAUAGGUCUUUUAUUUUAAUAAGAUGUUGAGAAAAAUCUUUACAAAAAUAUUAUACCACAUUAUUAAUAAAUUUUGAUUAGUUUAAAAAUUAAAAAAUUCAUAUUGAUUUUAUGAUAAAAAUCUUCUAAUACACUAGAUGUUGAUAAAAUAUAGUGCAUAUUUAAUUUCUUAUCAUGCAAAAAAUUUAACUUUUUUAUAUUAAUUAUUAUAAUCUAUAUCUAUAUUUUUAAAAGAUUAGUUUUGAUAUUUAUUUUUAGAUUUUUAUGCUAUUAAUUAUUAUAUUAUGAUAUUAAAUUUUAUCUAUUAUAUAUAAAUAUAAAAAGAUUAAGAAAGAGAUAGAAGUUCAUUUGAAAAAAAAUUAUUUUUCCAUUGCAACUUAUGUUAUAUUAUCAUUUGAUAUAAUUUUGAAAAAUUUAAGAAAGAGAUAUUGGGCAAAAUAGUUGUAUCUAAUGCAACAUAAACAUAAUUAAAAAAAAAUUAAAGAAAGAGAUAAAACAGUCACAAGUUAAAUAACCAUAUUAGAUGCAAUAUCAACAUGUCAACAUGGAUCUCACUUUCGCACCCAAGUUUUAUUAUAUCAACAUGGGUAUUUUAGUUGCAAUUAACGUGUCUGUGCAUUACAACUUCCAAUUAACUAGAGAUCUAAUACCAUAUUGGAUAACUAGUUAUCUUAAAAGUUUAAGCUAUAAAGAUUUGGAUUCACAAUAUGUAUUAUGCUCCAACUGUAGUCAACAAGUUUUAUUUACUUUGGCAAACAAUAGGAAAAGUGGCCAAUGCUAAAGAACAUUUGAAGUUGUUAAAACGCUGCCAUAGGUUACAACACAGAAUAGAACACAUCAUCACAUGGAAAUGCCUAAAUGAGAACUCCAAAAGCUUCAAAUUCCCCUCUCUAACAAAGGAGAGUUUAAUAGAUAUACUACAAAAACUUAAGUAGCUGUUAUUUUAUGUCACAUUUAUUUCAACAAUAAAGUUAAUCUACUUCACAAUGUCAACCUAUAUAAAUUCAUCAGUUAUGAGAUUCAUUUGAUAGUGAAGAAUCUCAAAGAUGAUAUUGUCAUUAUUUACAAAUGAUUCAUAACUUCGAUUACAAGCUGAGUGUAUUCAAAUUGGUAAUUUUCUUAGAUUCCUCCUACUUCUUUGUCAACCGAAAGACAAAAUCUCCAUUUUCUAGUACACUUCCAUGGUUAACCAAACAACUCUUGGGAAACAACUUUCAUUGCCAGAUUUGUUAUCCACUUUCCUUCUAAACUUGCCACACAAUCUGAGGGGAUCUUAACCUUCCUACAUUCUCAUAAAUCAAGAACUACAUGUUGUCAUGCCUGUAUUAUUCUUCAUUGCCUCUAUUUUAACUAUCAUAUUUAAAGUAAUAUACCUCAUCAGUGAUGGUUCCUCCUCAUCCAUACAAACUAUCUAUUAAAAGAUGUAAAGGAUUCAUGAUAAACAUCUUCAUAUAAGAACUAAACUACCAUCCAAUCAAAGGAUUGCUAUUUAAUCUCACCAACUUGCUAGCAUAAAGGAAGUCUGUAACUAUCAUCUCAAGUUCAAGUUUAGUAAUUAGCACAAGGGAAAUAGUGAGGAAUAACGAAGCUCGUUAAAAUUAGGAUGGGUUUAUUUCCAUUCUACCCUUUACUUAUCUAAUUCAUGCUGUGGGAUAACAUAUCCUUUUUGAUAAGUAAAAGCAUCAUAAAUACAAUGGCAUGGAGUAGAGAAGGAAAAGGUAGAAAAGACAUACAACAAUCUUAAAUUGGGAAAUAAAACUAAAUUAACAUCUUUAGAAGGUCAAUGCACCUUAAAAAUAAUGGAUCUUCUAAAUAAUAAUCAUACGUGUUAACAAGGGAAGGAACAAGGUGAUACCUCUAUCACCAAAUUCUUCAUCAAGAGAUUCCUCAGCAAAAAAACCCGUACUUCCAGGCAAUGGUCUUGAGGAGACCAAUGACUUGGAUAUUAUUUGAGAGAAAACCCAAUCCUUGAUACUCUUCAUCCUUCCUGUAGAAGUCUAGAAAAGGUGGAAAUUUAAAAAAGGUUAGUAUUGAUGUAUACCUUGAAUUGCUCCUAAAGGAAAGGAUAGAGAAAGCAUAUAAAAUAAAUAAAUAAAUAAAUAAAUAAAUAAAAAUGAAACAAUAGAUCUUUUUGAGAAUUAAUAAUAAAAAAUACUAAUAAAAAUCAAUAGAAAAUUUUCACUUACAAAUAUUUGGUAACUAUAAUCAAAACACAACUAUAUUUAUUUAUAUUGAUGAACUUCAACAUGAAUCUCAAAUAAAAAAAAUAUAUCCAGCCAUAUUUUUCAAUGCAAGCACUAAACAAACUGAUAGCAAAACCUCAACAAGGAUUUCCUUUCUAUAUUUGUUUCCCAAGACACUAAUUAUGUUGCCAUUUAGUUAAUUUGUAAUCAAGAGUUGCAUCCUAUAGUUUAGACAUUCAAUUAACAAGAAGACCCUUCUCAAUGUUCUAAUGAUUUUUUGUGAUGCAAUUACUUCCAAUGUUUAGCUCAUAACCUAAACUUCUAAGUUUUACUGGUUUAUAGGUCUUCUUGGUUAUGGUAAGUUUCUAAUAUACUGUAAAAGAGAGCAACACCAGAAGAUUCUAGAAUUAUCACAAUUCAAAGAAAUUCUUGAUAAAAGGCUAUAAAAUAUUUUUUUUCUUAGCAACCAAAAGUCAAUAUCAAACCAAGAUUCCAAGUAUCUACUAAGUCUGGUAUAACCUGGCUGAAUCGUAUCUGCUUUGGUGAGUUCUAGAGCAAUUCAAAUACCUUUUUUUGAUGGGUAAAUAGCAAUAUAAUAAGAGAAGAAAAGGCACUCCAAAAAAGCACCCCAAAGUACAUAGGAAGUAUACAAAAGACGCCUAAGAGCGCCUAAAAAAAAAGGACAGGGUACUAUAGAAAACAAUGCCCCCCUCAAACAAAACCCAACCAAUCUACAAAAUUAGCAAUGGAAGAAAGAUCGAAAACUAAAAACCCCUUAGCUCACGCUCAAAGGUUACAAAGAAAAUGAAAUUCACACCAUUGAACCGAAUGACCCCCAUCUUCAAACAUCCUACUAUUUCUUUCCUUCCACACUGUCCAGAAAAGACACAAGGGAGCAGCCCGCUACACUUUCUUCCUCUUUUUUCCCACAAAAGACCCAUGCCACCCUAAUAGCGUCUCUCUAAUUGAGAGCAAUUCAAAUACCUAAGUUAUAAUUCAAAACUAACUCAGUGCCAACUUGCCUUGAAUUGGUUGACUCAACCAAUUUCUUGAAAUAAAUCGCUUUGAGUGGGAUGAAUUUCAUAAAUGACUCCAAGUUAGGGCACAAAAUCCUACUUCUUCUUCCCUUCAGGGCUGCCUCAUGGUGCUUUUAUGGUGGUAGAACUUUCCUUGAAUCCUCAUAUUCUUUGUUUGUGACUUAGAUUUCUUGUUAGCAACAACAUCUCUAGUGGUUUGGAUUUUCUUUCGAUGGUGAUAUCUCUAGUAGUGGCUUGGCUUUCCUUAUAGCCACAUCUCUGAAAAAAUUUGUAGAUCUUGAUAUGAUGAAGCCAACUAGAUGAAAGUGAAUAGGUAAUCCCUAAGCUAACCCUAAAUUUAGUAUUUAUUAUCAAUUUUUUAUUUUCUCUUUUAGAUUAAUUAAUUAGAAAGCAUAACAAUCUCAUGUAAAAAUAAAUAAUCCACUCACAUAUAGUGAGAACGGGAUAUAACAUGGAAAAACCAUCUAGCAAGAUAUGAGGUGUAAAAAACCACAAGACGGUCUCAUGGUCACUUAUCAAUCCAUUAUAUAUGAGAAGACGGUACACAAAUUUAACUGACCAAAUGUGUUUAUUCCCUAAGGUCAUAGAUCGAUAGCACUUACACCUAUCUUCCACGUUGACGCAACACUCCUUUGUUCUCCUUAAUUGAUCCUUCAAGGCUCUUAUCCAAGUUUUGCAAUGUGAAUCUCUGAUCUUUGUUGAAGUCGAAAGGUACUUUCAAGAUAAAUCUUGAAAGUUAGAGGUUCAAGCUUUUGAUGAUGUCAGCAAUGGUGCUUCACCAUUGGUGAGCAACCCUCGAAUCUUGAGCAAAGGAUUAAAUUAGGUAUGGUAUAUCGUAUUUUAUUAAGAAAGAUAAACGAGUAUUAUGUAUUUUUAUGGAUGUGGGUAUUGGAUAUUUAUAUAAAUAUAGCAAAUGUAAAUUGAAUAUUUGGUGUAGCUUAUGUAUUGUAUUAAGAAAGAUCCAACUAGCAUUAUGUAUUUAUAUGGAUAUGUUUAUUGGAUAUUGAUAUGGAUGUGGUAAAUAUGAAUUGAAUAUUGGGAGCACAUGGUAAUGUAUUAUUAAUAUGGAUAUGACAUUGGAUAUAAAUAUAGGUACAUAAAUAAAUUCAAUAUUAGAUAUUUACAUGGAUAUGCGUAUAAAGGCAUAGACAACUCAAGAUUUAAAAAAACUCAUGCCAAAACGGAGGAUUUGAACUUGUGCUUUUAUGACUUUUUCAUAUUAUCAUAUAAUUAUUAAUAUUAUCAUAUACCAAUCUGAAAUUGUGCUUUUAUGAACCUUAUUAACAAUGUUAAAAUUGUAGGAAGUUUAUUUUACUAAUUUUUCAAGUUUAUCUAAAUUAUAUUUAGUUUUCUCAUAAUUUUCAUAAUUCUUUUAGAAAUUUUUAGUCUUUUGACUAACAUGUCUUGUCUAUUACCCGAUAUCGAUCUGAGUUUUUUCAUAUGCACCCCAAUACCUUCCAAGUCAAUAACCAAUAUUGCAACUUUGAAUCUUUUUUUCUUUUUUUGGAUAGGCAAAUAAAAUAAAGAUAUUAAGAGCGCUUAGCAAAAGCACAUCAUAAUACACAUGAUGUAUACAAAGGAUGCAAAAAAACAAAACACAAAAAAGAGGGUAACAAAAGAACCCUUUCAAAAAGACCCUCACCAGUCUAAUCUAUCAUGGUUAGGGUACCUUCACCUAUGUACAACCUAACACACAACAAAAGGUCACACAAAAAUGAGAAUUUUAGCACUUGAUUAGACAAUUCUUUGUUUUCAAACAGCUCAAUAACUUUGAAUCAGAUAUCAAACAACUCAAUAACAACCCAAAUAAUGAAACUCAACCAACCAUAGCCUUAUCCACUAGUUAUGGAUCAGCUACAAGGCCAUAAUUGGACAUCAUAUCAUUCUCACCAACUCGAGCCACAUCCUUUAUGGCAUUACCAAAUCAUCUCAGCCAACUUACUAUCAUCUUGUUCCUCGAUAGUCACAAAUUUGUUUUUCUAUUAAUUUAUUUUUCGUUCAAUCAUCACUUAUGUCCAUUAUUUGUUAGUCCUAAUACACAUUGUUGAUCCAUUUCUUAGCAUCUUAAAUUUUUUUUAUAGGCACAUUUAGACAUGUGUGCAUAAAAACAAGAGCACUCAACAAAAAAAGGACAUAAACCAAGAAAACAGAAAGUAUGCAGAGCAUGCAAAGGCCAAGAAGGAAAAAAGAACAUACCUAGGUAAACUGCCCUAAACUAUUUACAGACUACCAAAAAGAAGUUAGAAACUUCCAUUUUCCCACUAGUCUAUAGAAACAGGGACUUUAACAACAAUUUUUUUUAUAUCUAAGAUUAGUUUUCAAACAGUUCAAAAUAAACAUAAAGGUCAUAAGCCACCAACCGGCUUAUAGUUGUGUCUAACUAAGCUACCAUGCCUCACAAGAACACUUCUUUACAAAACAAGGGAGAAACCAUAGCAUGCCAAACAAGAAACAUUAAAGACCAAUGACUGAAGCCCACUUGUAGAGGACAUUAUUAUUUUCUUUUUUUUGUUUAUAUGGGCAACAAAUAUUAACUAUACUUCAACCUCCUUGCAUUAGUUGGUUAAUUGUAAGAAUCACACACACACAAAAAGGACCUUAGAUGGUGUUGUUGGAAUAAGAAAACUCCUUGGCAAGGAAGACUAAGAAUUCGCCGAGCAUCAAAGACUUGUAGGACCUAACUAAAAAUGUUUCAUUCUUUGAGGUUUUAAAAAAAAAAAAAACUUAACUAGAACUUUAAAAUCCAAGAUUACAACACAACACUUGCAAUAGGGGUUGCACCAAAGCCCACUUCCAAUCUAAAAAGUACCUCUUUUCAACCAUUCCAAAGUCCCACAUCAUUGCCACCCAAGCAUUCUUGUGUACUGCUAAACUAAACAACCCUAAAAAGCGGUGAGCCCUUCCAAAUCAAGACUUGGCCCAAAAUUUGUCAAACAGUGAUGCUCCACCCAAUUGUUUGUUCUCAAGCUAAACCCAUCCUAAUCUUUUCUACAGCCUACAACAUACCUAUGAGGCAAGACUUGUGUCCAAUAUGUUAAACUUUAGGGUAAGUGACAAGCUGCAUUACAAUUUUCGUCCUUAGAGACCUUGGGUUUGACCUUAUAGUUUCUUUACUCCCCUAUUUGUUGAAUUCAUGCCAAGAAGAGGUCAUGUGUGAGAGGGAGCAUUAAGGACCAUUUGGCUUGAUAUACAUUACUUACCCAUUUCCUAAUAGCUUAAACUUUUGGCAAAUGGUAGUGUAACAUCAUCACCAUACAUAAUCAUACUCAGAUCACAUUACUGUUGGUGCCGGCAAACUUGAUAACCCAAAUUUGAAACAAACAUGCCGCUCAUAAAAUUCACCCCCCAAGUUAACACACAAUGACUAUAACAACAAAGAAGAACCUCUCUAGUUCAUACAAGCAACUCUAUGCUAUGGAAACAUAAUGUUUACAUCCUUCUCUCCUUGCAUACAAUCAAAACAAGUUCACCAAAAGGGCCACUUUAGGGUUUCUGCUGCCAUUAAUCUCAUUUUGUCCCAAAAACUCAUCUCUUGAAUGAAGCUAAAAGAAAUUUACUUUCCAACAUUCUUCUAUCUUGAUAACUCAUCUCUCUCUUUCUCUCUGUGUAUAUAUAUAUCUUAGAAUCCCUCUCUUUCUCACACACAGAGUUAUAAAGCUAAAAGAAACUUGCUUUACAAUACUCUUCUUAACAUGCCCCCCAUGCCAUGGAACAUCAUGUUUAAACCCCUUUCUCCUUGCUUAUGACUGAAACAAGUUGACCAAAACGGCCACUCUUGGGCAUCUCCUGCCACUAAUCUCAUUCUUAACUCUCUCUCUCUCUCUCUGUGCAAAGCAUCCAAAAGAAACUUUCCAAUGCUCUUCUUAAUGUUAUAAUAAUUAGAAUCCCAUUCUCCCCAAAUCUUCCUUAAUAAAUAUUUUUAUAGGUAAUUUUUCUCUCUAAUUGAUAGCAUUGGAUUGAAGCCAAAAGCAACUUGCUUUCCAAUACUCUGCUUUAUGUCUUAAUAUUUUCUGAAUCGCUUUCUCCACAAAUUUCACAUAAUGGCUCAUAAUUUCCUUUCUUAUAGGUAAAUUCUUUUGGUACUCUCUCACCCUCUCUUCUCUCACUCAUUGAUCUCUAAUUAAUCUCAUAAGAAUGAAGUCAAAAGAAACUUAAUUGCCAAUACUCUUCUUAUGUCAAACAUUUUCUGAAUCACUUGCACCCUAAAAUUUCACUCAAUAGGUUGUAAGUUUUUAUAGGUCUGCUUUAAAUUCACCAAGUUACUUAUUAUCAGUUCCAAUUCACCUUCCCAAAAGAAAAUUUUAAUACACUUAUUUCACGUAUUAGAUCUUUUAUGAAUCACUCUCUUCUCAAUCUUUAGAGACAUUUAGAAUUAUACGGAAAAAUCAGUCUUGUAUAAACAUAUAAAAUAAAAUACACCCCAAAAAAGAGAAACCCAACAUCAUCAGUUGGGAAGAAGAGUUAGUAAUCCAUAAGAACAACACAGUAACCUAUCAGAAUUCCUAAUAUUUAUCCAAUUCAUGAGCCAUACAAGGCAGAUGGUUACCAGAUGAGAGACUCCACAACGGAUGCUCCACUUCACCCGCCCCAAGUAUCAAGUCAAUGAAUUUAACUUCGCAAAGUCAGAAUCGACCAACGUCUCGAACCACUAGCUAUACUCUAGAACCCAUAUAACAGAUGGGUUCAAUUCAACUUAUCUUCUUCUUCACACCACAAUCCCACCACAAACAAUCGAUACCCACUACACAUUUCCAUCACCAGACGCCAAAUUCCAACUCAAACUUACUAUUUGAUCGGAAAUCAACAGAAAGCCGUCGAAGAAAAUUUCUAGAACAAGGAAAUAUUUGACGAAAUCUACAAUCCCGAAUUGGAAUACAAUUUGAAUACAGACUAACUUUCGAACCCUAAGAAGAGCCGCACCACACCGAACCAACAAAACUGCAUGCAACGUCAGACCAAAAAAAAAAUAAAAACCCUAGUUUUCUCAAGAACAAUGAAUACAGCAAUAGCUAAGACCUCGGCGAGGAAGGGGCAUUUUGGGGAAUUUCAUGGUUUUAACACAGCUGAAGACAAAUACAAACAUGAGGUCGAGGAAGCUAUGAAGAAGAUUAGAUAGACAAGACACGGAGCCUUGGCGGUAGCGAUUUUCUGCCUGGCUCUUCUAUUUUAAAAAAGGAAGGGUUAUAUGAUCAUGUACAUUCGGGACCACGGAGCUCCUUCUUUGAGAUUCUUACACGUAGAGGGAAAUCUCAGAAUUGAUCUCUGGUCUCUGAUACGACCAUGGAAAAAUAUGGUGGACUGGGCCAGCUGAGUGAUGCUUCCUUGGGUUGGGUUCAGCCCAUACAACCCAAGAUGGUAACAACACGUUAAAGAAAUCAAAGUCUAAUGGAAAAUAAGAUUUUAUUUUACUUUAAGAAAGGAGAAUACGAAAUAGAAUACUUAUAAAUACGAUUGAAAUGAGUCAUAGUAAUCUUCAAAGCUAAACUAUCUAACAUCAUUAGUAAAAUUUGACGAUCGAUUGAUUGAUUCUAAAUUAUAAGUACAUUUUACCAAAUGAUUAAUUCUAGAUUACAAAUACAUUUCUUAACUCAACAAUCUACUAUUCUAUUUGUUUUAUUAUUAUAUAAUGAUAAUAAUAAAUAUAUAGAUUUUAAGAUAACUUCAAAAUAUCAUCCAUUAAUAACACAAUAAAAUUAGGAAUAUUACUUUUUUUAUUAUAACAAUCAAUCUACAACUAUUUUUUAGUCACUCUUAAUCUCUAAGUUUAAGAACUCAUUGUUCUUAGCAAUUAACAUGUCAUCUAUUAAAGUCAUACAUUUUACAAUAAUUAUUUAAGUAUUACAUAUAUGUCUAUUAGCAGUCUUUUUAAUAGUACCAUUAGAGUCUCUAACAGCUCAUCCUAAAACACUUUAUUCUUUAUCUUUGAACCAUCAAAAUUUAACUUGAAUAUUCCAUUAAUUGGAGUUGGAGGAAUCCAACGAAUCAAAAUUUCAACUAUUCAAGGGACAUUGCAUCCUUCAAUUUGAAGAUAGAAGUCAUUCGUAUAAUCCUGAAAAUUUUGGAAGGUUAAGGUAGUUUUUUCAAUGACGAGAAAAGGGUUGGGUUAGGUCUUCUGAAAUAAAAUUCGAUUUCUAUGAAUCCAUACAUUCCACAAAAUAAGAAAUGUUUUCCAUAAGAUGCUUACAAAUUUUGCAAUUAAUUUUAUAACUUUUAUACACUAUUCAAGUUAAGAUAGGAAGUCACCUUCUUAAAAGAGAGGUGUAGGGCAAUUAUACUUAAUGUGACCCCAAAUUCCUUGAACAAAGGGACAAUAUUUAAAAAUAUGGUUAAUAUUCUUAAUAUUUUAUUUGCAAAGAUGACACAUAUUUGUAUUUUCCAACCUUAUAGCAAUUAAAAACUCACAAAUAAGGAGGACAUCUCUAAUAACCCACCAUAGGAAAAACUUUAUUUUUGGUAAAAGAUUUAACUUCCAAAUUCAAUGUGUAUAAAGCUUUCUCAUUACCCAAGUUACUAACUUAAGGAUAAACUUACCAUUUUGAGAAAAAUCCCCCAAAAAAAUUAUCCUCAAUGGGAGAGGAAGGGAAUGGAAUUGAUUUAAUUUAUGCUAAAACAUUUGAGGGGAAGAAUGCUAAAAUAAAUUGGAGAUUCCAUUCCUUCAUCCAUGAAAGACACAAGAGUCAAUAUAUAUACCCAAUAGUAUGUCCAAAAGCAAACUUUUCUAUCAUAUCUCAUAUCCUAUACACCAUUUUAAGUCUGCUUCAAUAUAUUUUCUAUAAUUAAUAACUUCUUCCCAAAUAAUGAUGAUAUGAUUAAUAACUUCUUUCCAAAUAAUGGAAUUACCUUCCUUUUUUGAAAUUCUAAAAAAAUUAUUAUUUUUAACAUUUUUAUCUCUCCUGAUCCUAACCCAAAUGCUAUCAUUAUGGGUGAGGAUUUUAUUUUUAUAAAAAUACAUUUUUUUUUAUUUGUAUUCCUAUUUUGUUAAAUAAUUAAGCAUAUUAAUGAAUUAUUCUCACUUUCUAUUCUAACAUCCGAUUCAAAGAGGAAUGGGUUAUAAACACAUUUUUGUUGAAAGAAAAUAAAUAAAAAAUAUCACUUAUUUUUAAAUUUCCAACGUUGUAAUUUGUUUACAUGAUAAUGUAAUUCAUAAUAAAAUUCAAAUUCAUUUCAUAACAUACUUAUAUAUAUCAAUAAAAUGUUAUGUCAUAAUUAAAUUAAAAGGUAUAAUCUAAAAUUACAUCAUCGGAAACAUGAUCAAAUUUGCAAACACACAAAAGCUUCAUGACUCUUUGGAGCUAAAGAUUUUCAAAGGGUGAGAAUUCGUCUUCCAACUUCCUAACAUAAGUAUGACAACAAAGUUGCAGUUAAAAAAAAUGAGGAAAAAAAAAACUUUUUCCAUAAAGACAAAAAAAUAUAAAAAUAAAUAGCAUUUUUUUCCACACAAUCAUCUUUUAAAAAGUUACAAGUUAAAGUAAACUUCUUUAAAAAUGUCUUAAAUCUUAAAACAAGUUGUUUUAAGAUUUUAAUGAGUGUUAUAAGAAUUUAAGAUUUAACUCAAAAAAUAAUGAUGAUUUAUAUUAUUUAGGUGCAAUGAAUUUUUUUUUUAUAAAAAAACAAAAAAAAACCAGGUUUUCCUUUUUUAUUUAGAGAAGUAGGUAAAUUAGAUAAAAGAAAAGAUAUAUCUUCAAAGUUUUCCACUAGGGUGAGAGUUUUUUUGUUACUUUGAGACACUCACAAAGGGAGUAGGUAAAUUAGAUAAAAGAAAAGAUAUAUCUUCAAAGUUUUCCACUAGGGUGAGAGUUUUUUUGUUACUUUGAGACACUCACAAAGGGUUUCUUGUAAAGACCCACUCUCAACCGUGUAGAUAUUGUCCACUUUGGACCUAGGGGGCCCUCACGGUUUUAAAAUGCGUCUACUUGGUUAAGAGGAACCUUUACAUAUAUAGCGUUAGAAACUUUCUCCUCUAUCCGAUGUGGGACAUCACAAACACCCCCUAUACAGACACAACAUCCUCAUUGUGUCCCACGAAAUUGUGGGGCCAAACAGACAAACACCCCUUACGGGGUCAAACAAACCCAACACCAAAGUCGGAGAUCGGCUCUGAUACCAUUUGUAAUGACCCACAACUGUGUAGAUAUUGUCCGCUUUAGACCUAAAGAGGCUCUCACGGCUUUAAAACGCAUCUACUUGGUUAAAAGGAGCCUCUCCAUAUAUAGAAAAAUGGUGGAAAAAAAAAAAAAAGAACGCGUGUGCACUGGAAUAUAGAAGAAUGGUGGGAAAAAAAAAAGUUGCAUGCGUGUGGGAAUGAAAGAUAGAGGGAGGAAAAUAAUAAUAUUUAUAAUAAUAAAAGACGUGCAUGUGGAGUGUGUGAAUGAGUGGAUGAAAAUAAUAAUAUUAUUAAUAAUAAGAGGCCUGCAUGUGGAGUAUGUGAGUGAGUGGAUGGUAUGUACAUAUAUAUAUAUAUAUAUAUAUAUAUAUACAUAUAUAUAUAUAUAUAUAUAUAUAUAUAUAUAUAUAUAUAUAUAUAUAUAUAUAUAUAUAUAUUACAAUGACAGUUGUGUUUGGAAAAUAUGAAAGUGGUAAAAUAAACUAUGUAUAAAUAAACAAGGUGAAAUACAAUUUAGUUAAAUUUAUAGUAUUAUAAUUAGAUUAAUGAUAAAUAUUAAGUUAAUAAGUAGCAUAAAAUUUAAUUAGUGAAAUAAAUUGUAGUUUAAUUAAAUUAUGUUGUGUCCUAAGAAAUAAAUUGAAAAUAAAAAAUUAAGUUUUAUAUGAAUUAGAAAUUUAUUAAUUUUCUAAAAUAUGAAUAAAUUAAAUUAUCUUUCAUAAUUAAAAACAUUAAUUUGAACACUUAAAAUUUUAGGAUUAUCAAACCUAUAAUUUUAGAUAAAUAGUAAUGAUUAUUUAUCUUAUAUUUUAUCAUGUGAAAAGUAGAUUUUCAAAAUUAUUUUUUUCCAAAGUUUUUGAGGACUUCUUUUAAGGUAAGGGAAAUUAAUGCAAUUGUUUUUUUUAGAAACAAAUUUUUAUAUACAUCAUUUGGAAACGUUUUGAGUUAUUAUUCGUUUUAUACAUGGAUCAAAUAAGUUUUGCAUGAAAAGUAUGUUAGAACCUUAUAUUUUGUUUAUAACAGAGAAAUGUGGAGAUAUUAUGUUUUGCAAAUUUGAAUAAUUGAAAUAAGUAUUUGACUCUGGUUUGUUUGGUCUUUGUCAAUGGGAUAGAAUAGUUGACUUUUGACUUUUUGACCCUUAUCAACAGGAUAUAAUAGUUGAUUUUUACAUUUUUUGAUUGAGAAUGUAAUUGAUUUGGACCCUAACCUCUAGGGACUUGGUUAGAGGUUACUAAUACUAGUAGUGUUUGGUUCCGUCCACCUUAAAGGAACAAUUUGAGGGCACCUAUUUGAAAAGUCUCACCUAACUGAGCACCAUUUGAUGUUUGAUGACCAGAGUAAAUAAAUUAUUUGAAUGUUUUGACUGAAUUUGAUAUGAAAAUGUUUGAAUUAGAAAUGAAAGUGUACAAUUAAAAGUUUUAAAUGCAUUGACAAAACUGACUCAAAAGUUUAUGAAAAUAAUUAGUUAUAAUAUCUUCUAUUUUGCAAGUGAACUUGAAAUAUUUGAUCUAUGAACUGCAUUAAUGUUCCUUAUUGGGCUUUGAGCUCAUUCCCUUUUGUUGAUAAUUUUUUCAGGUAUCCCUAGUUCGGACGAGGAGUGAUGGCUAGGCCGGGGAAUGGUCAUCGUUAGGAUUUUGCUUAGGAUGUUAUUUUUGGACAUGGUUAGUUUAUAAGUUUAUGUUCAUUUAGACUAUUUGGUUUUUUGGGAGCUAUUUAGAUAUUGGACUUUAAAUUUUUUUUUUAUGAUAGAUUGAAAUUGGGUUUUGGAGAUUAUGGAUAUUUUUGUUAGCACUUGAAUUGUUUGAGUUUGCAAUCUAUUUGGAUAAUGAAUUUUUGGUUGAUGGAUGCUUAGUUUAAAGUUAAGUUUUGAAGAUUUUAGAAUUUUGUUCCGCUACUCUGAAUAAGUAUUUGGUAAUUGGUAAUUGGUAACUUGCAGUUACUAGAUAAUUGUUUGGGUCAGGUUACACUUUAAGCCUUCAGGUUUGAGGUGUAAAAUGACAGUCACGCCCUUGAAGUGGGUCUUUAGGCUUGACAUUUCUAAAGAUAAUGCAAAACUCCUUUUACUUGCUACAAGCUUGUUGAAACUCAUCAAGAUAAUAGAUAUGAUUAAGUAUAACAAUGAGACAAGUUUUUUCAGGUAUCCGUCUCUAAUCAGACGAGUUUGAAAUUUAAAUAAACGGGUUAUGAAUAGAUAUUUUUUUUAAACCCAAGAUAGGUUCGGGUAUUACCUUUUCCCUCUCGAUUAUAUAUAAAAUUAAUUUAAUUUAAUUUUUAUAUUUCUUAUUUUUAAGAUAAUAAUAAUAAUAAUAUUCAAUAAAAUAAGUUAUAAAAUUAUAAUAUUUUAAUUAUUUAUAAAAUAUAUUUAUUUUAAUAUAUUUAAAAAAAAUUAAAUUUAAAAAAAAAUUAAAAAGGACCAGGAGGGGCGAGUAUGAAUCUUGUUUACUUUUUUUUUAAUGGGAUAGAGAUGAAGAUUAUUUUGAAUAAACGGAGCGGGAUUGAGAUGGAUGCUAAGUGUCCCAAACCCACUGCAUUUCCAUCCCUAAUCAAUAAUAUUUUUUAUUAAAAUAAUAGUUUAGUUCAUUUAAUACUAUAUAAUACUAGAUUGUUUAACUAGCCAGGCACGAGGAUAGUUAAAUAAUAAAGUUAAAUAUCAUAUAAAAUUUUAAAUUAUUUAAUAAAAAUUAUAAAAAAUAAUUUAGUAAUAAAUGAAAUAAAAUUUUUAAGUAUUUGUAUUUAAAAAAAUUAUAAUAGCCUCCAAAAAUUUAUACAUACAUUUAUCCAAUAAUAAAAAAAAAUCUAUAUAUCAAAUUAAAAUGGAUUAAUUUUUUUUUUUUUUAUAAAAAAACAUAUGUUUGAUAAGAUUUUUUUCUAUUAAUUCUAUUUAAUUAGAAUUUCUUAUGCAUAAUAUUCGGUAAACUUUUACAAAUUAAAAUAAUAAUCCUAUUUAGAUGGAAUUUCUUACACUUAUCAAAUUAAGACUAAAAAAAUAAUACUUCAAUCAUAAUCUUCAACAUAAAAAAAUAUUAAAGGUAGGUAUGAAAGCAUGAGUAUUUAUAACAAAAAAAAAAUUGUUAUAUCCCUAAUUUUAUAACACAUUAUAAUUAGAAAAUAACUAAAUUUUAAAUUUAAUAAAAUAUUUAAAUUUUAAAUUCAAAUAAUUAUUGGACUUUUGAAAUCAAUUUAUCUUUAUUUAUAAUUCUAUAUAAAUAAAGAAAUUAUUAAAAAAGGAGAAUUACAUAUAUUUUUGUUAUAAAUUGAAAUUUGUGUGUAUAUAUUUUAUUAUGAUUCAUACUUUUUCUUUGAAAAUAAAAAUAAAAAUUUAGAUUAAAAAAAAGUUUAUAUCUCAAUUUUAUAUAUUUGACAAAUUUAGUAAAUAUUAAUUUUUAACAUGAAAAUGAAAAGGGAAUAUAAAUUAGAAAUGAAUCAUAUUUAUAUUAUAACUCUAAUUCAUUAUUAAACUAGCACUCUUUGUUAACGAAAAACCCAAAAUAAAUCAUUAUUUCUAAUAUUUCUUAAAUUUUUGUAAUUUGACUUUAGGUCAAAUAAGGAUUUUCAGCAAAACGACAAGUACCAUGAUUUAUUAAACCUAAAUUGUAUCCUAAAAUCAUGAAGCGAAGAUACACAAUAAUUACAUAUGAUAUACUUUUAACAAAGUCAACUCAUCCAUGCUUUAGAUGUAUCUCCCAAAGAGUAAACAUCCAAAGGGAGUUUAAGUUAAUUUCUUUUACAAUAUUGAAGUAAGUCUAGGUGCCAUUUGGGGACCAAUUUAUCUUUUCAUUUUUUUGUCAAUAUAUAGGAAAAUUUUGAAAGCCCUCUAAAAAUCAUAUUUAAUUUUUCUAUUUUGUCUUUUUAUAUUAUAUAUAUAUAUAUUUGUUUUUAGAAAUAUUAAUUAAUUAAAAUAGAUGAGAUAACCCAAUUUGAAAAAGAGAGUUUAUAAAUAUAUUCACCUAAAUUUUCUUUACGUUCACUCUUCUAGUGAAAAUUUUAAGACCUAAAUGUCAUUUGGUGAAAUUCUUAAAGUGUCAUUCAAUACAAAAAUAAAAAAAUAAAAAAAUAAAAAUUGGAACCCGUGGUGUCCUGGAAGGUCAAAUAUAAUUGAGAUGUUUACGAAUGAAUUACUCUUAUAUGUAAGGAAGACAACCAUGUGUAUGACUCCUACUGUCUUACCAAAGCCCAAUUUUCAGAAGGAAUUCAAGACUGAAUGCGAUGUAGGUGUGGGGGAAUUGGAGUAAAGGUUUGUCACCCAGACAUCUUGGCAUGUAAGGAACAAACCAAAAAAGAAGUGAAAUGACAUUUGAAGUAGGAGAUAUGGUUUUCCUUCGUUUACAACCUUAUAAACAAACUACCGUGUCAUCCAAAGGGAGUAAGCAGUUGUCUCCUCGAUUCUUUGGGCCUAUGAUUAUUCAACAGGAUUGGACAAGUUGCCUACAAAUUAGAGUUUCCAGUUAAGUAAAAAAUCCAUCCUGAUUUUCACGUUUUUUGCUUGAAAAAGAAAAUUGGGAAGACAAUCACUCCUUUCCUUGAGUUACCAGCAACACGAGAAGAUGGACAGUUGCAGCUUGAGUCCAUUUUCAUCUUAGAUAGGAGAGUGGUCAAAUGGAACAAUCGAUCAAUGACACAGUGAUUGGUUCAAUGGUCGUGGGAGGAUACAUUUAAGGUACAGUAUAAGUUUCCUCUAUUUUAACCUUGAGGUCAAGGCUUUUAUGAGGGGUAAGAAAUGCAACCACCUAUUUUAAAUUAGGGUUCUGCAAUUUUAUUUUGGUUAUUUUGGGCAAUUACUUGAUUUAAUUUGAUUUUAUUGCAUAAUCUACGUUUUCCUUUUUCGUUAGGUCUUUGGGCAUAAAAAGAGAGGUUCUUUUCUUAGUCUAUAUGUCUUCUCUUCUUCUUCUUGGCUGUUCACUUUUGAGAUAUUCAUCACCAAGUAAAAUACACCCCUAACAGAUUGGAGGGAGUACUGUAUACAGAUACAGAUAUCUGAUCAGUAUACCAGUGUUUAAUUUGGAUUAUCUUCUCCUCUUGUUUUUGGUUGAUUUGGACUGAGCUUUCAGGAGAUGGGUUGGAGGUAUAAAGCCGGGAUAAGCCUCAUAGCUGUAGGGACCCCUCCCCCUGAUGACACGUGGCACACACUUCCUGGUGACACGUGACACACAUUUCUAUCCGAAUUAAUCUCAUCCGGAUUUUCCCAAGAGUACACGUGGCGCGCUUCUCCUAUCCAGACCCCUAAGGAAGAGGCACACGACACUCGCAAACAUCACAUCCGGACGACCGACAUAUCCUAUCCGGAUAUGUUUUGUCCGGAUCGUUGACUGAGGUAAGCGAGUCUUGCACGUCAUUCCAACAACCUGCCACGGCCCACGUUCUGCCACCUGCAGAGUGAAAAGACAGGAAUGAAGUGACGGCAAGUCACUUCCCACGGUCUCUGACAACCACGGCGCCUCCCACGAUCUCUGUCAACCGCCCAUAGGGUGAUGAUGGCCCUGUCACCACCUAGAUGCAUCAUGACAAGCCAAAACAUCUCCCUACCAUUAAAGAGGGAAACAAAGCUUCUGGUACUAUAUAUAUGAACUUUCACACAAAGAAGAGGGUAAGCUUGCUAUACCUAGUAAAAGGCCAACUGAUUAUUCUCUCUCACCAUGGCUGACAAAACCAUUGGAGGGUGUGUCUGGACGCCUUUUGCAGGAACGACUGAACCAGGAAUCUAUAUUGGUUGAGAUCGUGCGUCCAUCCAUUUGGCAACUACGUGGAUCAGGGCCGCGAGGCCUCAACAAUAGCCACUGUUAUCAUCAUCUGGGUCACCUAUGAUGAAGUUACUCUUUAUGUCAUAUUUGGAUUAAUAUUGAAUCUUACAUUGAUAAUUUAUGUGAAAAUUCUGUGUUAAAGCGCAGUCUAAGUUUCCUUUUCAGUUACCAUCAAAGACGAUACUUGUGUGUUUAUAAAGAUUUUCACACGUCUGGGAUAAAAUUUGAUGAUUGAUCGAAACCUUAGGCUUUUCUUAAUAAGAAGCAUAAUGGAACCAUCGUCUACCCCUACGCUUAGAUCAUCUUUGAUUCUUCUGAAGGUCGAGGAAAAAGGUUCUCAUCAACUGAGAAAGAACAACAGAAGAAAGAAAGAAGAAAGAAAAUCACUGUAGUUGGCCACGUACGUGGUACCGAAACCAUUAACUGCGGAGCAUUACCUUAAUUUACAAAAAGAUGAGGCAAAGAAAUACGAAAAAAAUGAAGAAAUUAAGAGACAUGAGAGAUGAAAAGAAGCCGUACAACCAACAUCCGGAGUAUCUGGGCAGUGUUUGGUAGGAAGUUGAUAGUGGAGGAAUCAUCAUGACUUAGAGCGAGCGUCUCUUUUAAUUCUGUUUCUGAGUGUGGGUGACCUGGUGCUAAGUGACGCAACAUAAACACCGAAGCUUCCCAAAAAAAAAAAAAAGAAGAAAGAAAAGACCUUAAAAUAUUUGUUAGUUUGUAAUGGAGGAAAUCGUGCAAUCACCACAAACCAUGGAAUAGCUGCUGGAGAGAAAUCUGCAACUAAAAUCUUUUGAAGUGCUUUAACUUUCAAGUUUUAAAUAUUUUUAAAUCUUAAAUAAUUUAAUUAUAAAAUGACUAGUAAUAUAGAAAAUAAAUUAAAAUUUUAAUUUUACAUUUGUUUAUUAUUUUAUUUAAUGUCUAAUUUUAAAUUUUUUUAAUCUUUAUAACAAAAUAUUAUUUUAGUUCAUUAUUAUUAUUUUUUAACUAUAUGAUAUUUGUAUUAAAAAGUAUUACUAAUUUUUAUAAUUUUUUAAUAAAUUUAUAUGGGUUAAAUGUUUCAUAAAUAAAUUAUUUUUAACACAAUUAAGUAAAUAGGUUAAACUUGUUAGUCGGGAUGAGUAGUAAAAUCUAAACACAAGCCAUUAUAUUAAAUUGAUUAUACAAGUUAAUAUAAUUAUAACAUGAACAUGAUUACACCUAACCCGAACUUGCUAAAGUCUAUGUUAUUGUGUUGUGUCAAAAUUAUUAACCCCAUUGCCUUGAACACAAUAGCUUUCGCUAAAAGGCUAAUCAAGACAUCAUUGAAACUAGUGUUACCUUGGUGUAUCAAGCCUCCCUUCCCUUGUGUUAUUGAUCAUUUGUUUUUCAAAUUGCCACGUAUCAUAUUAAUCACCUUUCUACGCCACCUUUGUAGCUUCAAACUCCAUUUUGAAAUUUGAUUCAUCACCCACCAAACACCAAAUUAUAUGGAACUCUUACCAUUUAGUUGCUUAUGCUAUCCUUUACUCAAGCCUUCCACACCAUACAAGCUUGAACCCAAACCCAAGCUUUGCAUCCUCUCAAGCUUCUCAUUCAUCAAAAGUGUUUAUGUAUGCCUUGAUCUUAUCCUAAAAAAAAUCUGUCUUUGUUGAAAAGUUAAACUUGAUUUAGAAACUUUCUAAAUAUUACAAUUAAAUCUAAUUUUAAAAAAAAAUCAAGGAGAAUAUUUGAUUUGAAGUGGUUAUUUUAGUUUCUAUUUUUAAGUAGUUAAGUCUUAGAAGAAGUUUUAAUUCUCUCAAUUUGUGUCUUUUUUUGUAAUUGCUUGUGUUUCUUUUUCAAUCCUAUUACUCCAAUUUAAUUGUUAUGUGCCUACGACAAGAAAUAAAAUAUUUUGUUAAAUAUUCGAAAUAGUGUUAGAAAAAGUCUAAAAUCUUGUGUCAAUGAUCCCUCUUAGAUUUGACACUUAAGAUUUAGAAAUAUUAAUUUUAGAGGAUUAAAGUUGUUGAGUAAGAAAAAUAUGGUGAAAGAUUGUCUUCUAUGGGAUCAAUUAUAUAAAGAAUGCCUACUUGGUGGAGAUCUUUUCAGUGUUCUCUCAGCUUUGACUUAUGGACUAUUUACUGGUGAGAAUAUUCUCCGACAUAUUUAGUUCAGUUAUGAUGGAUCUUGUUCAUAGAUUCAUAUGCAAUAAUAAUAAUACUGCAGUGCUGCUUAAAAAAUUUGCUGGAGAAGAGGGAGACAGGGUAGAUGUGCAGAAGCUGUUUGGUGGCUAGGUAAGAAUUAAGAAUUAGGACCAAACCCCUCACUUGCUUUCUGAUCUUCCUACCAUGUUCUUAGCUACAAUACCAUUAAAGGAAAUUAUUUGCUCUCAAGUUUUUGGUCUGAUCAAUUUCAGUCUGGCCUUUGACUGCCUCGGGUAUCGAACCAAAGUUCAAAAUUCCUCGUUCUAAUGAAAUGAAGGGACUUCUUAUUGCCAUUUGUUUUGUAGGAAGUGUCCUCUCUGACUAUUUCUGGUAUGUUAGGAGAGGAGACUAGAGAGUGUUUCUCAAAUUUUACUUGCUUCUGAUCCAAAUUUUGUUAUGAUCCGCAGGGGCACUGGGCGUUGUUUGGACAACCCCACUCAUAGCUGCGCUAGGGAUCUCGCUCACCAUACCACUUGCCAUGGUAGAGGACAUGUUCUUCCAUGGCCAACACUAUUCACCCAUCUACAUCAUUGGCUCCACUCAGGUAGAAGGUCUUUGGUUCAAAAAACCCAUCUGAAAUUUUUAAUUACAUAGCUAAUUUUGCACGCCACUGAUCUAUCCAUGGGUGUCUCUGCAGGUAUUUCUGGGAUUUGUACUAGCUAGCGUUUCCGAAUGGUUAUCACCAAAGUUGAGCUUGUGAUGCAAAAUCAGAGAGUGAUCCAGGCGAAGCCCAAAAAAGGGAGACAAUACAAUACUUUUCUGACUGAAAAACAUGGAGUAGUUUCCAAAAGAUGACGCUGAUAAUGAAAGAAAUGUCUUAUCCCAUUUUUUCUUUUUCAUUGCAUUGCAGUGUAUGAAAGCUUGUUAUUUUGAUUCAAAACAUAGUUCUUCCUAACAUUUCAUCCUUAAACUUACCAAUGGCUUGUCCCAAUCAGUUACCUUCUUAAAGGGAAUUCAAAAGAGAACCUUCAGUAGUAUCUCACCCUCCUCAAUUACUUUGCUUAAGCGCAAAUCAAUUUCUCCCCUGGGAUUGUAAUCCCAUGAUGGAUGUUAACUGGAAUUGUGCCAUUAGCAUUGUGGAAGUUCUUCCUCACAAUGCUGGUUAUUUGUAACAAUAAUAAGAUACCAAAGAAAAGAUAAAGGAGAUAAUGGAAAGAGAAGACGCAACAAGGAAAUGUCAUUCAUGAAAUUCCCCCUUUUAAUAUUUUUUUUUCUAUUAAUUUCUUUUCCAUUAGAUAAAUAAAGGAUAAUCUGCUUUGAUAAUAAUAAAUAUUUUACGUCUCGAAAAGAACUAACCGUUGAAAAAUGUUAUAUUUACUCAAAAGGAUACUUUGAUCAAAUAACAAUAAUAAUAAUAAAAGAUAGGCCAUGAAAAAACAUGUAUACACCCCAAAUGUGAGAAUUGUUAAGCCUCAAACAGUUGGGUAUAAAAGUUACAAUUUACAAAAUGGCAACUAUAUAACAAGAGGAACUCUCAGAUUACAGUAGACACCAUCACAGCACCCACCCCUCAUACUAAGAAAUUAAACUUUAAAAGCAACUUCAGGUUUAGCUUUUCUAGUCCUUGCAAUUCAAAUAGAAGGAUACUGUAGUAUUUAAGAAAUGUGUUGGUGAUUUAGAAGAGCCUGGAAAUGGCACAAUGAAACAUGGUGUUUGUCAUUCAUGAUAAACCACUACAAAUAUUCUGCAGCAAGUAUUUGUUUAUAUGACUUUCUGAAAAAAAUUUAGUGUGCACAAAGAACUCUAAAAUCAGAUUUGGACAUCCCCAUGUGAGAGAUUAGUACACCUCUAAACUAAACCGCCAAGCAUUUGCAACUUCUAAAGAGGGAUCAUGAGAGAGAAUCAACCCACCACCAACAACAUUCCAAUGAGCAGAGGCAAGGGGAAAAUGAAAGAAAAGAAUCAAAUCAAAAGCCAUUUUAAAGGAAUCCAUACCUUUAAAAAUAAAUAAAAUUUGCCCAAUGCCGGAGAGUGCCACAAAAAUUCAGGCUCAGUUUUUGCUCCAACUGAAAAUUAUAAAUCUCCCCUCAAAGAUGUACCAUAACAGCUGCUUGGUCUUUAACCAAAAAGGACAGCAGCAAGUCAAUGACAUUGGUCUUCAUGGUCUACAGAACUGGACCUGAUGCUUCUUUGAUGUUCAAUUUUGCACUUUACCAUGACUGCCAACAAUUAGUUGAAAAUUUAGCCUUGUGCCAUUGUCAUAUCAAGAGGGGGUUGGUUUUUCACUUGCUUUGUAAUAAAGCAUCUUCUGUACAUAGAACAUCAUGUAUCCUUGCGCAGCCCUCACAAUGUUCUCAUUAACUUGAGUGAUCCAAGCAUCAUCACACUUAUACCACUGAUUACUUAAUCGCAAAUAUGUCACAUAAUGGCCAGCAUCUAGUUUACCUGUGUGAGUGACAACAGCAAACAACUCAAACUCCGAUGAUAACUCAUUUGAUGCAUCUGGCUCAUCCCCAUCAAAGGAGAAUAUCCUGUUCCCGAACCGGCUCCUCAAUAUGGAGGAAGAGAGAUAAGGUGCCAUGUCCAACGAAAAUGGGAACUGGAGAUAGCGGUCUACUUUCCUUGACAUAUUUCGGAUGGAAGAAUGUUCAAACCUUUUGAUGUGGAAGCAUGAAACCAAAGGAAGCUUUCUUAUGGACAUCUGCUUGAGAGAUUCCUGUCUCACCUGACACUGUUGGCAGAAAAAUUUCUGAUCAGAGCCUAAUCUCUCAGGUCUAGUGAACCGGUCCAAGCACCCCAUCAGGGUUGAUGUUCCACAGUUUUGGCUUGAGUUCAUGGAGUCUGCCUCACCAUUGCAAGAAUGAUGGGAUUUUGUUGACCCCAUCUUUGUUGAAACCCCCUGAUUUGGCUCCAAGUCCAAUGAGAUGUCUACACAUGGGUCAUACGUUGUAGAUGUGAAACCACAUGCCAUGCACAUGACAUCAGAUCGCAAGAUACCAGAGAAUACUCUAUGAGCAAUACAACAUUCUCCAUUGCCUGUGAUAGCAAAUAAAUGGGAUCAUAUACAUGUUUACUUUAUAUGAUUUUAAAACAUCACUGUUCAUAUCAAUUACUUCAUGAACUCUUUUUUCUUUCUUUCUUUCUUUUUUUUCCCUUUUGGUUUUUUCAUUAGAACUAAAAUUACGAAUACAACAAGUAGAUGAUUCCAGAUUACAGUUCAUGGAAGUAAUUCCUGCUAUUACAGAAGUACAGAGAAAUAAAAAUACACGUUAAAAAAAAUUCUCACUUGAGCAAAUUAUGAUCAGGCAAGCAAGCACAAACGCUAUGAAGAAUGCCUUUAGAAAAAACAAUAUGAAAUUUGCUUAUAAAUACGGUUAAUGAUUUUCAUUAAAAGGAAAGUAUUCAUGAUGGUAUCCUUGCCAUUACUGGGAGAAAGCAAUAGCAUGUGCUGAAGAACUAUUCUCACUUCCUCUCUUAUAAAUGUUACUGCAUGCUACCAAAAUUUGAAAUAAACUAUUAGCCAAAUAAUCAAUCACAUCCAAGAUAAUUUGCACAACAACUAAUUCUGACUCCAAAAUGAGAUGGCAUUACACCACAACCAAUACAUGCUUACAAAAAACUAUUACUAUUAUUAUUAUUAGUUUUUAUGACUAUCUUCUUGGAAGAAUGAAUUGAAGUGUGGAACCCUCUCCAUGCCCACCCUUCCAACACCUUAACACCUCAACCCAGCUUUUGGGGCAUCCUAGUUUACGCUUUGAACCCAUUUUCAUUUUCCAUGCAUGACCGAAAGAUCAAAUAUUUUGGAGUUCAUGAAUCAUCACAAUGUGAUAUAGUUGCAAAUCACACCAGAUCUUAAAGCUUGAAAAUGAUUUUCCCUUUUCUAGGCAAUCACAAUGGGAUAGGGAUAGAACUAGUAUCUUGUUAAUGAAGGACAACUGCAGCACAGUUUUACAAGAAGUUCCAAUGAGACCUUCAUGGAAAAAACUGUGCCUUGUCCAAAACACUCCAUGCAUAGGAACUUCAUCAACAGAAAGAGCAGGAAGUUCAAUGGCAACAUCACCACCAAAGAUAUCAGCAUGACCUGAACAACAUGAGAAUUAAGGUUCACAAAGAUUUGACUAAAGGGUUUGUCUCCGGCUGCCAACCUAAAGCAACCAUCCUCCUUUUCCAGGCUUGGGAUCUGCUGUGUAGAAACAUGACCCUAAACAUGUCACAGGCGGAGUUAACAAGAGAAUUUAUUUGACACAAGAAAAUCCUAUGAUGAAACGAAUUAGACCAAGGAAAAGUAGACUUACUGGAGUGAAGCAGAUAACACCAUCAAGCCUGCAGGUUGAGUAUUAGCCCUAAGCCUGAGAGCUUUUGUUAAUGCCUAGGCCGACAAACAAAAGACCUAAACCCACACCCUGCAGUUGAAUAUUGUGGAUACUCGUUAACUUUUAAGAGUACUCUGGAUCAUGUUGAUCAAAUUGAAAUAUUAAAAUAGAGAAGAGAUGGACACUGGUUGAUAAUAAAGAGUAUUCAAGCUGAUCAUCUUGCUGGGAUUGAAUGAUAUCAAGCUUCACUUAUGCUUCAUGCUUUAAAUAUCUAUAGACUUCCUUAUGGGUUAAUUAAAAGCACUUCCAGAGUGCAUCCUUAGAUCAACUGAGUCGUUCCACCACUUGGUUACUAAGUUUUUACCACUUAGCUCCUAAAUUUUGACAUUACUAAUUGGAAGGACCCCUUUGCUUUAAAACAUGUACCUAUAAUAAACAAUUUGAUAUGCUCCAGUUUAUUUGUUUGGAGCUACAGGUAUAUCCCAACUUUCAAAGCAAACCAGUUAAGACCCUAGAGGGUCCCAAGACACAAGCAGAUCAUACAAUAAAGUCACUCCCUACAGAAACAAAGACAAAAUUCAAAUAACCCCUAAAAGAUCAACAUUCAUUGAGCUUCAAAAAUCAUACGAAAACUGCAACAACAUUCAAAGGGGUCUAAAGUAGCCAAGCCCUAACACAGCCAAAUACCAUGAUUAUGUGCAUUGAAGCAAACAUCUCAAAGAAGUGCAGCAAGUGAUUGCGAUGGCAAAAAUCUAACAAUCAUGGAAAAUGAAGUUCCCAUCAGAGUUGGGAUUUUCAACAAGCAAAGAAUGUCAUCCAUUUUUUUCCCCAGACUUAGAAGACCAUAGCAGCAUGGUAAAAUGUAUGGAAUACAAGAAGGGGUAAAGUGCACACAAUAAGACAAUUUCCAUCUAGAAUAUUCUAUAGACCUAGGAACAAAAUAAUCCAAUUCAUAUAUACCCACUGUGAAAGCAACAAAAAGUAUUUCAGGGCAGAGCAUUGCUAAAUGGGACAUGUCAACCAGUAUGUUCAAUGUGUCACCUAAGAGCAACAUGCUCUCACCCCUUCUUUUCAGCCCUUUACUCCAGUUUCUGACUCCUCAUUGGAGUAACAUAAACUAGCAAACAUGAACAAUUAACAGGAAGAUCUCCCAACUGAAGCAAACAGACAUAUCUGAUGAUGCAUGAGAAACCAACGGAAAUAUUUGCACCAAUAAAGAAUUUACCUUGGCUUUGGGUCUUGCGUUUAUCCUUUCCCAUCUUUUCAUGGAUGCCAUCAAGCAUGGAAAUGAAAAAUUCAUGUGCAUCCUGCUGUUCAUAACUUGCUAGGUUUGCUGCAUGUUGCCACCAACUGCAAGAAAACCAAUCAAUUAGAGAAGUUCCUCCACUAUUUGAUAACAUGCCAAUAUCUUUUAGUUAAGUGAACAAAAUUGAAAUCCGACUGCAUCAUAACAGCUCUGCCUAUAACUUGCAAAUAUCAAUCUGCACAAAGUACAUCAAAUUUGAUAAUCCCAAAGUCAAAAAUCAUUCUUUUCUUAGAAAAAAAAAUCCUAUUUUCUGCAGAUGAACAAGAAUGUAAAAGGAAAAAAAAAAAUCAAUAAUGAGGCAAAGGUUAGGCCCCAAAACCAGUACUACAAACUUACCAACCCCAUACCACAUCUUUUCAAGACUAACAUAAAACCAAGUACAUAACCUUUUCUUUUAUCAGAACAACCAAGCACGUUAACUAAAGUUUCAAAAAAUAAAACUUGCUCUAAUUAAAAAGAGGACAGCAUUAUGAAUAUGGAAACAUCAUGUAAAUAAUUUCAAUCAGACCUGUAAAGAAAUUUUGCGGGGCUAUAGGGCGUCCGAUCUCCGGAAAACACAGCAGAAAACAUGGCAUCCAUAUCGCAAGCCAAACACAACCUCAAAUUCUUAUUACUGUUACUAUCAUUGCUAGCAGCAUUGCGCUUGGAUGCAUUACUAGCAUUGUUCUUCUGCUGACAAUAAUACCGAUUAUGCCGAUCACUCAAGAAAUAGUUUCUCAGUGGAGGAGUGUGAAGCAAUGCCUGCAACACCGAAUUCAUAAAACAAGUGUUUCCCAAAUUGUUCAAUCCUCUCAAUCCCCAUGGCAAAUUGGACAAGUUCGCACCAUCAGCCCCCUCAGUUCUUUGCAAUGGACUCGAGUUUCGAGUCAUCAAGACUCGUUCCCUCAGAUCAGGUGUCCAAGGCCGAUAAUCGACCCUCCUCCUUUUCCUCAAAUUCUCCGGCGGCGGAGAGGAUCGGAUCGAACCGCCGCCGAGGGUGGACGCAGUCGUCUGCGCAACCACUACCGCGGCGUCGAAGUCCCGGUCGUAGACCUGGUCGCGACACGCACAACAGAAUAGCUCGGCGCGAUCUACAUCCACGGCGAUCUCGUGCCCAGGCGGCAUCGACACAGCGUGAGCCGCCGCGUGCGACGGUGAAGGCGAGUCUGAGCUGUGGCACGACACCGCCGCGCAAGUCACGCAGGCGUAGAGGCGCGACCUCGCCGCCUCGCCGCACGCGCCACAUCGAGGCACCUCGCUGGGGUCGCGGCGGAUCGCGGCCCGACCGAGCGGCUUUACACGGAGGCACUCCUGUAGGGCUCGGAACGGCUUGGAGCCGUUUCGGGUUCUGUAUUCGGCUAGGUGUGGACAAGGCUGUGGAAUCUGACCGUUGAUCCGGUGGUGAUUGAUCUUGGACGACAUCGGCGUAAACGGAGCUGCGGAGCAGAUUCACAAAGAAAGCCCUAGAUUUCAAGAACAUAAGCUUCAUGGAUCGGUUGAAUCUGUCAGAUCUGAUCAGAGAACCAGUAAUCCUAACCAAUGGCUGACAUUCAACACUCUGCAAAUGAAAUUCCCUUCAAAUGCAGAGACCCGAUAAUCAGAGCUGGGCCUUCCAUCCUGUUCAUCUUUUGAUUCAGAUCCUCACUUUUGGCUUCUGUUUUAUUUCUAAAAUCAAUUAAUAAAAAACCAUAUUUAAAAAAAAAAAAUUAAUUCCAAUUUUCUUUCUCUAUUUUCGUGAGUUUUGAUCCACAAAAGAGGGCAGAGGGCAGAGGGCAGCAGAUGGCAAAGACAGAAGAGAGAAGUAGAAAUUUUUUUGUCACUUAAGUAGGAUCAAUUUUACAAUAAUUUAUUAAAUUGGUCUCUUUUUCCGUUUUGUUGUGUGGACUUUAUCUUCCCUUUUUAAAUCUCCAUUCCCAGUAACCGUUUUAUUGCGUCAUAAAAUUAUCGCCUCAAACAAUUAUACAAACAUUCGCUUUCAUUAUUUUCGAUUAAAUCCAUAAGAAAAGAUGAAAAGAAUGCACUGCUUUGGCGACUAUAGUGGGAAGAUGAAAAGUAGGGGCUGAUAUUUUCAGGCACUAUGGUUUAAGCCUUUAAGGGGUAUGUGGAGAUUUUUCAUUUCUCUGUAAAUGGCCCACGACAUGAUGGUGGAGGGGUGAUGUAGGUGCAUUUCCCAAUCAGAAAGGGGUACGACAUGGGGAGUCCGCCCGCCUCUCCCUCCUUACCCCUCACCCCCCACCUCCCACCUCCCACCCCCCAUUCAUUUAUGGCAUAUUUUACAAUUUUAUCUCAUUUUUGUGUGCAUAUGCCUCUUUCCUUGAUGAAUUUCUUUUUUUGCCUUAUUGUUUGUUGGUGUCUUGGAGAAAAUUUAGUUAGUUGUUUGGUUGUAAUUAUGGAGGUGUUGCAAGUAGGGGGAAAUGAAGCCUUCUACUCUACUUCUGCAGCAGCUUCCUAGUUGUCACCUAGUUGUAUAGUUUAUGUUCCAGGGAAAUCUCCUUUUUUGUUGUUGCUAAUAUGGGAACAAAAUUUGAAUUUCAAUUACUUGUUUCAGAAAAAGCUAAAAAUUUACUAAAUGAAAGCAACCAGUGAGUGCAAGUAAAUGUUGAGAAUCAGCCUUUUUCUUUUCUUUAUACCAAUUUAAGGUGUCCCCAUCACCAUCUUUCCAUAAAAAUCAUACCUGGUUUUUUAGGCUUUGAGUUCACAAAAUAACCAUUUUUUGUUGUCUUCCCUUUAGACUAUCAAGGAGAGAGAGAGGGGAAAGCAUGAUAUCAAUACUGCAAAAGCAGUUGCUCAAUUGGCAAUUUCAGGCAAAAUAAUCUCCCUGAGUGUGAAUCCGAUCAUGAAAAGAAACAACCAUUACCUCUUUAAUCACUACGGAAGUUCUGAAAACCAAUGAUAGAAAACAGAAAACAAAGUUGGGUAAAGAUUUAGCUUAUGCUAAAUAAAGCAAGGAUGGUGUCAAGAAUCUUAAGGUACUCAGAAAGCUCUGCACCAUCUUGUUGGACUGACAGUCCUCAGAAAAACCCCACUGCUGUGCAACUAAUCAAAGGGCAUGGCAAACGUGACAAAGAUUCUCACCAAAAAUAAUAGAGGCAUGAUGAUACUUCCUCAUUGGUAUGCAACUUAGAAAAAAUAAGCUCCAAAUGACAUUAUCCUCAUGGUGUGCAACAAGCUAAGCUCACAACAAAGCAGGGGCAUAUCACUUUAAGCUCCCUGGUAACUUUACAGACAUCUGCAAAGAACUGCCAAGAUUGAACACCGACGAGUACUGUCAGCUAUGUACUAUGACUCCAAUCACCUCCAUAGGGUAUUAUCAAAAUGGUGACAAGCAGCAAACCUCAAUCCAGCUUCAAUUGCAGUUCAAUUCAACCACAUAGGUAUGGUGCUACAUAUGAACGAUGCGGCAUGCCAGAGGUUACACUUGGACCACCUUGAAGAUGAAAACCACCUCAACAUGCUUAAAAAAUGUCAAGUUGCCUCAAAUUACCAGGGAAAACAGACAUGUUUGCUCCAUCAGGGGUCAGGCGAUUGUGUCACUGUUCAAGGGGGAGCAUUAAGCUAUUAUAGCUCAGAAAGUACUGAAGAGGUUAAAGAUGAUCCAAAAGAAAAUAACUUGAAGAUAAUGCUCCUAGUUACAUUUAUCAAUACAGGCUUCUUAAUUGAUGAAAUAAGCCAGUACUAGAAAGAGAGACAACAGCUGACACAAACAAAUAACCCCUCACAUUUUCUUGCACAAUCAAAUAAGCCUGACUCAUUUUCUUCUAUUUCCUACAUAAACAGUUGUGCUUUGAAUGGCUCAUGAGCUUCAUCUUAUUACCAAACAUCCGCAACAAAUAUUGAAGACAACGGUUCUCUCAUUGGGUAAUCAAUAACAUCACAAUUACAUUCAUCAAGUGCCUAUAUGGUCCUCGCAUUUGUACAACCUCUACAAAUAAAUUGUUUUAAGGAACAAUAAUGUUCAUGAAUUUCCGCUUGGCAAAUGCCAACCACCAUUUAUUUGGGGUCCCAUUGGGUCUAUAUGCAACGCUCAGUAGUCUCCCACUUGUCUCCUCCCUUAUCUGCUUCAGAUAAUUCCUGAAUAGCUCUGUGUUCAAUGAUCACAAAAGUCAGAAAUUUUUUAAAGUUUUGAAGUGUACUUGAACACUCAAGCACAGCACAUCAGGCAGGCUAUCAUGCAAAAAGCCAAAAACCCAACGUUUUGCAUGUCCCACCAUAUAUCAAUGUUCCUAAAUAUCAAAUAUAAAUGUGUAAGUUUAAAGUGCCAUUUUAGGUGCAACAGUAAAAGUAAGGAGCUGCCACUUGUGAAAGCGCAGAUUUGAUCUCACUUACAGCACUGUGCAAAAACACUAAAAGUUAGGACCGUAUCCUACUCGCACCUACCAGGACUCUGCCUGGUGGAACCUGUACUACAUAAUGACCAUAAUACAGAAAUAUAAAUUCUCAAAUCAGAAUCACAAGAGAACUAGGAAUUUCCCCCCAGUGAAAUAUUUUGCUCAGGACCCAUUUGAUGGUGGAUUAAAAUUACCAAACACAAUAAGCAGUACUUUGUGGAGAGCUCAUAUUUUGGUUCUAAGUCUUAAAGCUGCAAACACCAUACUCCUAGAACCAUUUUAGGAAACUUAAGGCGCAAUAAAUCAUUUAACUUUGAGAUUUCAUGAUAUGAUGAUGACACAAGCAGCCCAAUUCGGAAAUUUAUCAGAAGGUAGUUGCUGCAGGCUAUGCUGUCCAAAUUUUUUAUGACAGUAAAAAUACAGCGAAGUGGGAAAAACAAAUAGAAGAGCAUAAACAAGGAAUACAAGUUUUUUUUUAUCACUAUUAAACCCAGAGAAUUUCCACCACUAUUGGCCAUUAUAUUCAAAGGCCAUUGUAGCAGUUCAAUCUUGUUGACAAGAUAUAAAAAUUUAUUUGCUAUUAUCUAAGUACAUAACAUAAUUAACACCAACUGAUUUAAUAUUGGAAUCCUUGGUGUACAAUCCUGCCUGAAAAUGAGAAAAGGAGAAUCUGUUGUGAAAGUUGUCAAUUUUCAGAACACCCCACUUUAUAAAGCCACCAUUUCAAGGUUUCAUUCUAUGGAAUAUAAAACAAUAUAGUGUCUCGGUAUCCAGCAAUAACCAAAUAGUGGUAAGGCCUUCCACCUUUCUUGUAUAUUUAGAUGGCACCCACUUUUCUUUUAGGUGCUUCUUAAUAUAAUUACCUAUAAGAGGGAGAUAAAAAGCAAUGAUUGUUAGCAACAGGGAAACCACUGAAGCUGUUUACUACCAAUAAUUGCAAUAAUGGGAGACUACAUAAGUGAGAACUGUUGGCAGGGUUAGUGCAAACUUUAGUGCAGUGCAGUGCAAAAUCAGACGCCAUCUCAACUUGGUUCACCAAAAGGGAGACUUUCCCCCCAAUUUUACCUCCACCACUGUUGACACUCACAGACCAAGGUCUAAGAAAGAAAAACUCAGCUCUAAACAGUGCAUCACCAAGAUCGUCAAUGCCUUGGAACAGCAUCAGCAAUCAAGAAAAGAGCAUAAAAGCCCUAGCUCUUGCAAAAACCUUUCCCCAUAACCCUCACUUUUCAAGUUGUGACAACAUCAAGUUACCCAAGGCCCUUUUGGUGACUCUACAACCAAGGACUUAAAGCCCAAUGACUCUCUCCCCUAUCUCUCUCUCUCAGCCAAAUGCAAUUUUGAAGUUCUGCAUGGCCAAUUUUUUUUUAUUGCAGUUCCAAUUGGAAAAUUAUUUGAGUCAAUGAAAAAACGGCAUCCAAACCUCAUCACUAAAGACCAAGAUAAGAAACUAGGUGAUACAUUGAGCCCCUAAAAUUGAACAAGGAGUACCCAAUGGUAGCAACUCAGUUGGUUUACACAUGGCUGGAAGAGCUCCAUCUUGCCAAGAAGUUUUCACAAAUCAAGAGUCAACCUGGUUCCUAUACAAACAACCAUCAAUAACACCCACCUUAGUGAGCAAAUGCAGCUGGGGUAACCAUAAUCAUGCCCUUUGUUUUGCUGCAAAUAUAUUUGUUUUCCACUAAAACUGUUGGAGAAAGCAAUAGAUUUUUUCUUAAAGGACUAACAGAAGGGGAGAACCUAAGAUUAUUACAGACCGAAUGCUUUAUAUAAGAGCUCCUUCUUCAGCAAGAGCCAACGACUCAUUUUUUAACCUAGUGACUUAAAAGAAUGAGGUUUCAUAUCACCCAAACUAGCCUAUAGCAUUAGAGAAAUUGUUUCUCCAUCAAGUCAUGCAUUGCAAGGUUGGAAGUGUCUUUUAGGCUUCCCAAAAGCAAAUGCAUCAGAACAGUUAGCAGCCAUUAGAUCAGAACCAUGAUCAGCAAAAACUCAGGACAUAGCCUGAGGGUCUAGAUUGAUAAGAGAACAUCAAUGCAGAUUUAACUUCACUGAAACAAGAAAAUGAGGGUACCUAGGCUUGACACCUACUGUUAAUGAAGAUAUAAAUAGUAAAGUGUUACAAUCAUGGGGAGUGGGAAAAAUGGAGCAUUUCCAAGAACAGUUCCACGAAACAAUUGGGCAUGCUUGAGAACAUAAAGGAAAAACAAACAAACAAACAAAAUGAA